rnacentral:rRNA from 1 species
GACGUAGGAUGCAAGCGUUGUCCGGAUUUAUUGGGCGUAAAGAGUUCGUAGGCGGUUCGUUAAGUCUGAUGUUAAAGACUGGGGCUCAACCCCGGGAGUGCAUUGGAUACUGGCGGACUGGAGUGUGGUAGAGGCUAGUGGAAUUCCCAGUGUAGCGGUGAAAUGCGUAGAUAUUGGGAAGAACACCAGUGGCGUAGGCGACUAGCUGGGCCAUAACUGACGCUGAGGAACGAAAGCCAGGGGAGCGAACAGG